UACAGAGGGGGCAAGCGUUGUUCGGAAUUACUGGGCGUAAAGGGCGCGUAGGCGGCCUUCUAAGUCGAACGUGAAAUCCCUGGGCUCAACCCAGGAACUGCGUCCGAUACUGGAAGGCUUGAAUCCGGGAGAGGGAUGCAGAAUUCCAGGUGUAGCGGUGAAAUGCGUAGAUAUCUGGAGGAAUACCGGUGGCGAAGGCGGCAUCCUGGACCGGCAUUGACGCUGAGUGAGCGAAAGCCAGGGGAGCAAACGGG
rnacentral:rRNA from 1 species